CAGUUAUCGGGUAUCAGCGGGACCAAGCCGCCCGGACACGGCGGUUCACUCGUUUUGCAUGCAAACCGGUGGCCUGGCUCGCAGAAUGUCGUCGCCCUGCCCGACGAUCCAGGUCGGCGCGCCGCGCACCGGGAGAUCGUCGGAGCGUACGCCAACAUCGGCGGAAAAGUGUAACACGUGAUCGGACGUGUUGCAUCAUUUGCAGGAACGUCGGGAAACGUCGGUGUCAUCGGGCCGACGGAAUGUUUGCCAUCGAUGCAGUCUGCGCCGCGCGUGUUUGCGAAAUUCUUGCUCGAUUGUUUGACCGGAAUAAAGGCCCCGUUAAACUCUUUAGAGAGGUCAAACAAUGACGACACUAGGGCCCGGCGGCGCUAAAAUGAGAAACGACGCUGGAUCGGUCGCCCGCGGCCGAAUCGAGGCGUUAACGCUAACUUGUAGAAUAUUAUGGUCGACCGGUUUGUUGUUGCAUUUUAAUUAAUGGAUACAAACGACGCAAUUAGACAGAAAAGUAGCACAUAAUUGCAAUGAAAAUAACUUGAUGUGACUCCGGGAAAUUUUUUCUGGGACGUCGACCAUGUUCAUACGAAACUUUUUAUCGGCCACUGGACGGUUAUGUCAUAUUUUAUAUAAUGUAGUUUUGUAGGUUACGUACUCGGUAAAACAGCAACGCUGGCAUUCUUGAACGUCGCUUCUUGUACAUCACGCGUUUGGUAAUUCUUUUUGAAAGUCACAGCAAAUUUCGGGGGAGAUCUUUUACUUCAUAGUACACGUCCCAAGCUACGUGAAAGUAUUAUUUACAUUUUUCUUUCUUGCAAUUAAGCGAACACGUUGCACUCUGAAACGUUGCAUUGAAGAUGCACCUGUAAAACCGAAGUCGUUUUUUGGUAUUUUCUUGUGGGAAAAUCGACGAGUUGACACGCAACUUGUAUUACCCAUUUGAUGGUCAUGUCACAUGGUAUACAAUGUGUCGUUUUAGGUUACGUUUCCGAACGACAACAGGAGAGCACACUACUAAAAAGAUAAAGAAAAAAAGAUAAUCACUGCCAUAAGGAAAUGCAGAUUUUUCCGAAUCUGUGAAGUGGAAAGUUCCUAAACGCAGAGGUACGUUGCAAGAAGCCCGCAACAAUGUUGAUCACGAAGUAACUGCGCAGAGCAGUAAACCGGAUUUAAUAGCCAGGAAUUAUGGGGCCUUAAAUCAACGAUUUCUUGGCGAACGGUCGGAAAUUCAUAGCUUUUUCGAGGCGGCUGCCGGACGGAUUUGCUUCGAAGUAAGUCAACGGGAUAUGCCUGGAAAGGUUACACUGUAGCGGCGCUGGGUCGAAAUGGACGUUUUCUCUGGCCGGCUGCUGUUCCGCCGGUAUCCUCGGCUCACCGGCGAACGGUGAACGAGCCCUGAGGUGCCCGAACCAAAAAUGAACCGUGACGAUACUUCCUGGUGACAGUGAUCGGUGGUUUGAAGAGCGUCUUUACGCGGACAAAAAUAGAAAGACG